UCCCGCCUGCCCAGUGACUCUUUAAACGGCCGCGGUAUCCUAACCGUGCAAAGGUAGCAUAAUCACUUGUCCCCUAAAUAGGGACUAGAAUGAACGGCUAAAUGAGGACAAAACUGUCUCUUACGGACUAGCCAAUGAAAUUGAUCUUCUAGUACAAAAGCUGGAAUGAGCCCAUAAGACGAGAAGACCCUGUGGAGCUUUAAAGCCACAUCCCACCAAACAUGGCUCCUGGCUUUUUAGUUGGGGCGACUUUGGAGCAAAAAAAACCCUCCAAAACAUAAAUCUGUUUACUAAGAACAACACACCAAAAAUAACUUUAUAGACCCAGCAACAUCUUUGUUGUCUGACCAAUGAACCAAGUUACCCCAGGGAUAACAGCGCCAUCCUCUUCUAGAGUCCUUAUCGACAAGAGGGUUUACGACCUCGAUGUUGGAUCAGGACACCCCCAUAGUGCAGCCGCUAUAAAAGGUUCGUUUGUUCAACGAUUAAAGUCCUACGUGAUCU
rnacentral:rRNA from 1 species